rnacentral:rRNA from 1 species
GAUGAACGCUAGCGACAGGCCUAACACAUGCAAGUCGAGGGGCAGCACAUGAGUAGCAAUACGAUGGUGGCGACCGGCGCACGGGUGAGUAACACGUAUGCAACCUGCCUUCUACUAUGGGAUAACCCGUUGAAAGACGGACUAAUACCGUAUAAUACAGGGGCUCCGCAUGGAGAUAUUUGUUAAAGAUUUAUUGGUAGAAGAUGGGCAUGCGUAUGAUUAGAUAGUUGGUGAGGUAACGGCUCACCAAGUCAACGAUCAUUAGGGGUUCUGAGAGGAAGGUCCCCCACACUAGUACUGAGACACGGACCAGACUCCUACGGGAGGCAGCAGUGAGGAAUAUUGGUCAAUGGACGAGAGUCUGAACCAGCCAAGUCGCGUGAAGGAAGACGGUUCUAUGAAUUGUAAACUUCUUUUGUGCAGGAAUAAAGUGGGUUACGUGUAACCUUUUGUAUGUACUGUACGAAUAAGGAUCGGCUAACUCCGUGCCAGCAGCCGCCGUAAUAC